GACGAACGCUGGCGGCGUGCCUAAUACAUGCAAGUAGAACGCACAGUUUAUACCGUAGCUUGCUACACCAUAGACUGUGAGUUGCGAACGGGUGAGUAACGCGUAGGUAACCUGCCUGGUAGCGGGGGAUAACUAUUGGAAACGAUAGCUAAUACCGCAUAAUAUUAAUUAUUGCAUGAUAAUUGAUUGAAAGAUGCAACUGCAUCACUACCAGAUGGACCUGCGUUGUAUUAGCUAGUAGGUGAGGUAACGGCUCACCUAGGCGACGAUACAUAGCCGACCUGAGAGGGUGAUCGGCCACACUGGGACUGAGACACGGCCCAGACUCCUACGGGAGGCAGCAGUAGGGAAUCUUCGGCAAUGGACGAAAGUCUGACCGAGCAACGCCGCGUGAGUGAAGAAGGUUUUCGGAUCGUAAAGCUCUGUUGUAAGAGAAGAACGGGUGUGAGAGUGGAAAGUUCACACUGUGACGGUAUCUUACCAGAAAGGGACGGCUAACUACG
rnacentral:rRNA from 1 species